GCUUGUGCCCGGCAUUAGAGAGAGCCUGCAGGAUGCAGGGAGAUCUUCCUGGGUAGGGGAUUUUGUCAACAAAGUCUCCGGGAUGGGAGGACCUCACAGGCUGCGUUUCCCUCCUGCUUCCCUGGUGCCAUCGCGGGCCCCUCCGCCUCCCCUGACGUUUAAGUGCAGAAAUCUACUGCUCCACCAGACCUCCAACCUCAUGUUAAUAAAUGCCAGCUGUCUUCUGUUGCUCAUACCCCAAAGCAAUGGUGGAUCCUUGAGUCUCCUCUUUCUUCCAUUCUCCAGCCCAGCAUCAAAUCCCAUUGGCUCCCACUUCAGAGCCAGUCGAAGGUCAGAUGAGCCUGGCUCUCCUCUGCACCAGCUCAAGCCAAUGUCAUCUCCCACCUGGAUUGUUGUUAAACCCUGCUCUCUGGACAGCCUGCUUCAGUCUUGCUCUGUCCCUCCCUCAGGCUGUUCUUAGCACAUCGCUGAGUGAUGCUUUCAAGAUGUCAGAUCAAA